GAUGAACGCUGGCGGCGUGCCUAAUACAUGCAAGUCGAGCGAACAGAUGAGGAGCUUGCUCCUCUGACGUUAGCGGCGGACGGGUGAGUAACACGUGGAUAACCUACCUAUAAGACUGGGGUAACUUCGGGAAACCGGAGCUAAUACCGGAUAAUAUAUUGAACCGCAUGGUUCAAUAGUGAAAGACGGUUUUGCUGUCACUUAUAGAUGGAUCCGCGCCGCAUUAGCUAGUUGGUAAGGUAACGGCUUACCAAGGCGACGAUGCGUAGCCGACCUGAGAGGGUGAUCGGCCACACUGGAACUGAGACACGGUCCAGACUCCUACGGGAGGCAGCAGUAGGGAAUCUUCCGCAAUGGGCGAAAGCCUGACGGAGCAACGCCGCGUGAGUGAUGAAGGUCUUCGGAUCGUAAAACUCUGUUAUUAGGGAAGAACAAAUGUGUAAGUAACUAUGCACGUCUUGACGGUACCUAAUCAGAAAGCCACGGCUAACUACGUG
rnacentral:rRNA from 1 species